UUCUAAACAAUAUUGGGGACUUUCCAACUCGACUCGCAUUCGCAGUGUCAGCACAUACGUUAAAGCUAAACUAAACUAGUGCCAAGAGCAGUAGUAUAAAAGCCAGUGAGUUUUUAAAAUGCGUGACUAUUUAUCCGGCCUUGGUACUUUUUGUAUUUUCGCUGGGACCAUGGUGUUAUAUAUCUAUAAUAGGCUUCUCGUUGUUUUUCUCGUUGUUUUUCUCGUUGUGUUUCACUCUAACUAUGAGUGGUCAUCAUAACUGAUGAUAAUCACGCGAUCAAGCAAGUGAUUUAAAGCUCUUCCAAGAAAAGCGGCCAAAAAGAAGAGGUUAAAAAGGGUCUUAAAGGUCUUCCAAGUUUGGCCCGCAAGAAUAAAGUUAUAGAAGAGCAAGUCAAAUUCUACAGAUCCAAAUACCAAUUCAUUGGAAACUUUUUAUUGAAGAAUAUCAAGAAAAUAAAGUGUAAAAUAAUAGAGGAAAAAAAGGUGAGUCCUAAAGGCCUGCUGAAAACAGAUUCUUUCACGUCCAACUAAUAAGAGUGCAAGGACUUUAACCUUUUUUAUCGCAAUCACUAAGCUAAAAGGGCUUAAAGUAUCGUACGAUGAAAGUAUUACAAUUACACUCUUACUACUAUAAGUUAUUUAUUAUUAACUUAUUAUAUUGUAACAAGCAUCUUAACCAAACCUUUAAAUAAAUCUACUACUCUUCCCAGUAGACCGAGGUAGUUGUGAUUUUUGUGAUCAAAUUUCAGUCAAGUUUUAAUCACGUGGUGUAAAAAAAUUGUCCUUGUGGUACAACAUUGGCAUCAUGUG